GACGAACGCUGGCGGCGUGCCUAAUACAUGCAAGUUGAGCGAUGAAGAUUGGUGCUUGCACCAAUUUGAAGAGCAGCGAACGGGUGAGUAACGCGUGGGGAAUCUGCCUUUGAGCGGGGGACAACAUUGGGAAACGAAUGCUAAUACCGCAUAACAACUUUAAACAUAAGUUUUAAGUUUGAAAGAUGAAAUUGCAUCACUCAAAGAUGAUCCCGCGUUGUAUUAGCUAGUUGGUGAGGUAAAGGCUCACCAAGGCGAUGAUACCUAGCCGACCUGAGAGGGUGAUCGGCCACCUUGGGACUGAGACACGGCCCAAACUCCUACGGGAGGCAGCAGUAGGGAAUCUUCGGCAAUGGACGAAAGUCUGACCGAGCAACGCCGCGUGAGUGAAGAAGGUUUUCGGAUCGUAAAACUCUGUUGGUAGAGAAGAACGUUGGUGAGAGUGGAAAGCUCAUCAAGUGACGGUAACUACCCAGAAAGGGACGGCUAACUACGUG
rnacentral:rRNA from 1 species